rnacentral:rRNA from 1 species
UACGAAGGGGGCUAGCGUUGCUCGGAAUCACUGGGCGUAAAGCGCACGUAGGCGGAUUGCUAAGUCAGGGGUGAAAUCCUGGAGCUCAACUCCAGAACUGCCUUUGAUACUGGCGAUCUCGAGUCCGGGAGAGGUGAGUGGAACUGCGAGUGUAGAGGUGAAAUUCGUAGAUAUUCGCAAGAACACCAGUGGCGAAGGCGGCUCACUGGCCCGGUACUGACGCUGAGGUGCG